UACAGAGGUCUCGAGCGUUGUUCGGAUUUACUGGGCGUAAAGGGAGCGUAGGCGGUCGGGUGUGUUGAAUGUGAAAGCCCAAAACUCAACGAUGGAAAUGCAUUCAAAACUGCCCGGCUGGAGUACUGGAGAGGAGAGCGGAAUUCUUGGUGUAGCGGUGAAAUGCGUAGAUAUCAAGAAGAACACCGGUGGCGAAGGCGGCUCUCUGGACAGAUACUGACGCUGAGGCUCUAAAGUUAGGGGAG
rnacentral:rRNA from 1 species